UCCCCCUUUACUUUUAACUCAUAUCUUCUCUCUUUUUUAUACUUUGAUCCCUCAUUUAUGUUUGAUUUAAAGCAUGUCUUUGAGUACUUUCAGUCAUUACCCUUUCUGUUCUUUUCUUUUUUCCAUGUCUUGUCUAGCUAAUCUUUAAGAGUAGUACAGAUGGUUUCUGCAUGAUUCCCUUUCAUUGGACUUGUAUGCUACUCUCUUGCGCUUCGAUUCUUCGAAGGCGGUCAUGUAUGGAACGAAGAAGUAAGAACGAUGCGCUGUGGUCUUGAAAAUGGAAGAUUAUCGGCAAUAAAGCAAAUCGGGGAGGAGAUUUGGAGCUGGUUUCUUGUUCUUCACAAUUUUGAGAAAAAGAUAAAAAAUUUACAGAAGUUCUUUUCAUUUCUUCCUUACUACGUUCCUUCUUGCAGAUGACUUUGUUAGCAAAUCAAAAUAAUAUUACACAAAUAUUGUUCAGUGCAAAGAUUCAUGGGCGGAAAAGGUAACAAUUUACAAUGCUUAUGUUAUUGUCUUUCAAAAAUUUUCUGCAGCCUGCAUUGAACUCAGGAAAUAUGUGUGUUCUUCCAGAUAAGAUAGUUACAUAGAGGAACAUUUUUUUAAGGCCCGGCAGUUGUUAGCUGUCGAUUACCUCUAUCCGAACGGCGUUCAUCAAAGGAAUUUGAAGGCCUUUGCUCAACAUCAAGGGCCUUUGCUCCUUUAUGCUUGCACAUUGCAUUGUUUGGUUAAAAGACAUUUGGAUCAUAUCAUUAACUUAGCUGCAAUCUUUUAAUUAGAAAAAUGUCAUACUUCUUUUGAACUUAAGGAAGAUAACAGAGAAGAAUUCAUUGGAGAAGAUCGUUUGUUGAAGCAAUUGAAACACACGCCUUAGUGAAGAAACUAAGACCGGCUUUCUACAAGCACCAUUCAUCCCUUUAGGACAAAACAUUAUUAGGACUCAUGCUAAAUCAAGCAUGGCCAACCUUCCAUCAUAAUCCUCUUUACGCAAAGUCCAACUUGUUUCAUUAGGUAAAUAUGCGGACUUGCCCAAGAUUAGAAAACUUGAUCUUAUUAGGAUAGUGCUUAAACUGAAAGAACCUGAUGAACUGUGAAAAAAAUCUGAUCGAAUUCGCUAGUACUUGCCCAAGAUUAGAAAACUUGAUCUUAUUAGGAUAGUGCUUAAACUGAAAGAACCUGAUGAACUGUGAAAAAAAUCUGAUCGAAUUCGCUAGUUAUAUCUCAUCAAAAGCUAUUUAUAUUUCCUGACUGCAUAUGUCAAGAUCUUCUCCCAGAUAUCGUAAACCUGUGCUCUAAUCGACCUUCCUAUGAAUGAAAAUCUGGUUUUGUAACAGCUUUGUUGCAGAAGAAGAAGAUCAUCUUCAAUCUCCAAGGCAAAAAAGAAAAACGAGAUCUUCAUAAUCCGAACCUCUGGUGGAAUCUCAGGAAAUUAGUACUCUAUUUUGUAAAACUUCACAUCAUCUGUUGAGAAUUAAGCUGCCUCCUUUCUUUAGAGGUAUCCUGCAGAAGGUAAUCCUGCAGAUGAAGUCAAAAGGAAGCAGGAAAGUGUGAAGAAAUGAAGACCCUUACUAAAAUUAGAAGGAGUUUUUUAUUUUUCAACAGCUAGUUUCUUCCCCUGUUUUUAGAAAGAUUACAGCUGGUGUUUUAUCCAUUAUUUGUACUGAGCACUCUCAUCUUCCUCCAAGUGGAUGGAUGAUAUCCUCUGAUAAUCAUUUAUGAUCGGAGAAGAGUACUAGGCCUCUAGAUGUAGGUUCUGGUUUGUAGACCGGCUGUAAAACAAAAAGGAUAUAGUCUUUGUAAUUUGUUUUUUGGAUAUUAAGAAAAUAUACAAAGUGACUCUUGCUCUUCUGUGUUCUCUUGAGCCAAAACAAACACAAAAUUUCGUCAAACCUUUUAUUCAAGUUUCAAUCUUUAUCAACCAAAAACAAUAUGCCUGGUACCAUUUCAAACAUGGUAUCAGAGCACUUGGUCUGAUUCCGAAGAAGGGCGUGAUACUGUGGGUGAGAUCUAGCUCCGAAGGAAACCCAGAAAAUCUUAAAGGUGGUUCCUUUGUUAGUUGAUUCACUGAUACUCACUAAGAAAUGGUGGGAUCGAGUUCUUCCGGUGGAGAUUUACGAACUCCACAGUUUGAUGGUGCAAACUACGAUUUUUGGGCUGUCAAAAUGGAAACAAUCCUCAUAGCACAUGAUCUAUGGGAUGUGAUAGAACUCGGAAUACAGCCGCAGCAGACUCCCGAUGAGGAAGAAGGUUCUGUAGAUGAAGGAAGUGAGGCUGAGCACACUCCAGUAGAAGCACCCACUAUCUCCAAAGAAGACAGAAUAAAAAACGCCAAGGCGUUAAGCCUCAUUCAGGGAGCCAUAACUGAUGAGCUCUUCCCUCGCAUCAGAAAUGAGAAGACUGCUAAAGGAGCUUGGGAAAUACUGAGAAGAGAGUUCAGAGGAGACAAAAAGGUAAGAGCUGUUAAACUUCAAGCCAUUAGAGCUGAGUUUGAAUAUCUGAGAAUGCAUGAUGGUGAACCUUUAGAUGACUACUUGGCUAGGUUUUUUGAGAUAGUGAAUAAUCUGAAAUCACUAGGUGAGGAUGUGCCUGAGAAAAGGAUUGUGCAGAAGCUAUUAAUGAGCUUAAAUAGAAGAUACAAAUCCAUAGUGUCUAUAAUAGAGGAGACAAGAGAUCUGGAUGUUAUAAGGGUUGAGGAAGUCUUGGCCUCGGUUAAAGUCUAUGAUAAAAGGGAAGACCUGUAUGAUGAAAGGGACAAGGUUACUGGUACUGAGAGGGCAUUUAGUAGUCUAAAGAUUGGAGGUAGUGUUCAUGGUAGUACUAGUGGAAGUUAUAAAGGUGCACAGAGUAAACAGAACCAUAAAUGGCAACAAAACAAGAAAGGAAGAAAUUGGUCACAAAGCAGCAACUGGAAUGGCAAUGGUAACUCUAGUUGGAACAAUCAAAAUGGUGGAAGUUGGGGAAAUAGAAGCACUUUUCAAAGCAAACAAGGAAGCAGUAGUCAAGGUGUCAUGAAACCACAAUGUCAAACUUGUGAUAAAUAUCAUUUUGGCAUUUGUAGGUAUAAGGGAAAACCAAAAUGUGGCAAGUGUGGCAGAUUUGGACACACUGCAAAGGAUUGUAACAAUGACAAACAGGUUGCUAACUAUGCAAAAGAGGAAGGUGUGACCAAUGGCACAAUGUUCUAUGCAUGUCACGCAGCAUCAACAUCUCAGGACAGAUCCGUGUGGUUUGUUGAUAGUGCCUGCAGCAACCACAUGACUUCUCAAGAGUCUUUGCUACUGAAUCUUGACAGAUCAAUUACCUGCAAAGUUAAAAUGGGGACUGGCGAUCUGGUUCAAGCUACAGGCAAGGGAACACUUGUAGUAGAUACAAAGCAUGGGAAGAGAUACAUUAAUGAAGUUCUGUUAGUUCCAGGAUUAGAUGAAAAUCUCUUGAGUGUUGGUCAAAUGAUGGAACACGGUUACUAUGUCCUGUUUGGUGGUAAUAUGGCUAUAAUCUUUGAUGACAGCAAUCUUGAAAAUGUGGUAGCCAAGGUAACUAUGGCUGGAAAUAGGUGCUUUCCAUUGUCCUUGGAAUCCAUAAAUCCAGUAGCUAAAAGAGCUUCAAUUGAAGAAGGGUCAUGGAUCUGGCAUAAAAGGCUGGGUCACUUGUGUUUUGACAACCUAAAAAAAUUGCAAAGAGAGGGAAUGGUACUUGGUUUACCCGAGCUAUCAGAAGUGAAUGAAAUCUGUGAGAGUUGUAUUGCUGGAAAAAUGCACAGAGAACCAUUUGAUAAGGAGAAAGCAUGGAGAGCAAGCCAUCCACUAGAAUUGGUACAUACUGAUGUCUGUGGACCAAUGCAAAAUGAAUCCAUUGGUGGGAACAGGUACUUCAUCACAUUCAUCGAUGACUAUUCAAGAAUGUGCUGGGUGUACUUUCUUAGAAACAAAUCUGAUGUGUUCAAUGUAUUUAAAAAAUUUAAAGCCUUUGUGGAGCUACAAAGUGGUUUCAAGAUUAAGAAGCUGCGAAGUGACAGGGGAGGUGAAUAUACAUCUCAUGAAUUCUUAGAUUUCUGUUCUAACACUGGAAUGGAGAGGCAAUUAACAGUUGCAUAUUCCCCUCAGCAAAAUGGAGUUGCUGAAAGAAGGAAUAGAACCAUUGGUGAAAUGGCAAGGUCAAUGAUGGCCGAGAAGAAUAUCCCUGUAGUUUUUUGGGCUGAAGCAGUUGGAACUGCAGUAUACUUGCAGAAUAGAUGUCCCACAACCUCAGUGAAGGGCAAGAACUCCAUUUGAAGCCUUCACAGGUAGAGAAAACCAGGCAUAAAACAUUUGAGAAUGUUCGGAUGCAUAUGCUAUACUCACAUACCUUCACAGCUAAGAAAAAAGUUUGAUGAAAAGGCAAGAAAAGGUAUCUUUAUGGGGUAUGGAAGCUGCGAAAAAGGGUAUAGAGUUUAUGACCUGCAGUCCAAGAAAAUAAUCCUCUCCAGGAGUGUUGUAUUCAAUGAGGAUCAGUGUUGGAGUUGGGAAUACAGGCAAGUUGAAACACCUGUGAUGUCCCUAGUCUUUGAGAAUCAAACACAUGGUGGUGAUGUGCAGGAAAGUCCAAAUGUGACUCAGGUUGAGACUGCUCAAAGCUCUCAACCAAGUUCGAGCCCAACCAGUGCAUCAACUAGCCGAAGUGAAUCACUAAGUCAAAACUCAACUCCUAGUUUAACACCUGUAAAACUAAGGAGUCUAGAAGAGAUAUAUGCUAGAUGUCACAUGAGUUUUGUUGAACCAGAAGAUUAUCAAGAAGCAGCACAGGAUCAAGCAUGGCAAGAAGCUAUGAAUGCAGAAAUCGAUAUGAUUGAAAAGAAUGACACUUGGCAGCUAGUUGAUAGACCCACGGAUAAGCCUGUUAUUGGGGUGAGAUGGGUGUUCAAAACUAAAUUAAAUCUAGAUGGAACAGUUCAGAAGCACAAGGCUAGACUGGUGGCAAAAAGGGUAUGCACAAAAGCCCGGAAUCGAUUACAAUGAGACCUUUGCACCAGUGGCAAGGUUGGAUACAAUUAGGACCCUUAUAGCUUUGGCUGCACAAAAAGGGUGGAAACUAUUCCAACUAGAUGUGAAAUCUGCGUUUUUAAAUGGCAUGGCAUACUUGAAGAAGAGGUAUACAUUGAACAACCUGAAGGUUUUGAAGUUAAAAAAUGCUUGUCAUAAGGUCUACAAAUUAAGGAAGGCCUUGUAUGGUUUAAAACAGGCACCUAGAGCCUGGUAUAGUGAGAUUGAUGCAUAUCUCACCAGCUGCAAUUUCAUUAGAAGCACAAGUGAAGCUACUUUGUACACCAAGUCCGAUGAAGAAGGUGGUAUACUUAUUGUCUCAAUAUAUGUUGAUGACAUUGUGUAUACUGGAAGCAGCAAAACACUACUCAGUGAGUUCAAAAUGGAGAUGAUGCAGAAGUAUGAGAUGUCGGAUUUAGGCUUACUCCAUCAUUUUCUAGGAAUGGGAAUCCUACAAACUGAAAAAUGGUGUAUUUAUUCAUCAAAGCAAGUAUGCAAAAUCAUUACUUGUGAGGUUUGGUCUUGAAGACUGCAAACCUGUCUCCAUUCCUCUGCCUACUGGUGAGAAGCUCAAGAAGGUAGAUGGAAGUGAAUUGGCAGAUGAAACCAUGUACAGGAAAAUUGUGGGCAGUCUUCUGUAUUUGACAGCAACUAGACCAGAUUUGAUGUAUGCUGCUAGUUUGUUGUCAAGGUUCAUGAAUGGUCCUACAAAGAAACAUUUUGGAGUUGCAAGGAGGGUUCUGAGAUAUGUGCAAGGCACGCUGAGCUAUGGAAUUGAGUAUGCAAAAGAUAGUGAUGCAAUCCUUGUAGGAUUCUGUGAUGCAAACUGGGCAGGGAGUGAGGAUGAUUGCAGGAGCACCUCAGGAUAUGCUUUUAGCUUUGGUAGUGGGAUUUUCUCUUGGGCGUCUGUGAAGCAAAAUACAGUUGCUUUAUCAACUGCAGAGGCCGAGUAUGUCUCAGCAGCAGAAGCCACGGCCCAGGCUAUUUGGCUAAGAUUUGUACUCGAUGAUUUUGGAGAAAUGCAAGCUGAUGCAACACCCUUAUUCUGUGACAACAUGUCUGCAAUCUCCAUGGUGAAAAAUCCUGUCUUUCACCAGAAAACCAGACACAUAAAUAGGAGGUUUCAUUUUAUAAGGGAAGCACUACAAGAAGGUGUGAUUAAUGUGAAGUUCUGCAGAAGUGAAGAACAACUUGCAGACAUAUUUACUAAAGCCUUGCCUAAAGAUCGAUUCAAUUACUGAGGAUGAAGUUAGGAGUAAAGCCAGUAAGCAGCUUAGGAGAGGCUGUUGAGAAUUAAGCUGCCUCCUUUCUUUAGAGGUAUCCUGCAGAAGGUAAUCCUGCAGAUGAAGUCAAAAGGAAGCAGGAAAGUGUGAAGAAAUGAAGACCCUUACUAAAAUUAGAAGGAGUUUUUUAUUUUUCAACAGCUAGUUUCUUCCCCUGUUUUUAGAAAGAUUACAGCUGGUGUUUUAUCCAUUAUUUGUACUGAGCACUCUCAUCUUCCUCCAAGUGGAUGGAUGAUAUCCUCUGAUAAUCAUUUAUGAUCGGAGAAGAGUACUAGGCCUCUAGAUGUAGGUUCUGGUUUGUAGACCGGCUGUAAAACAAAAAGGAUAUAGUCUUUGUAAUUUGUUUUUUGGAUAUUAAGAAAAUAUACAAAGUGACUCUUGCUCUUCUGUGUUCUCUUGAGCCAAAACAAACACAAAAUUUCGUCAAACCUUUUAUUCAAGUUUCAAUCUUUAUCAACCAAAAACAAUAUGCCUGGUACCAUUUCAAACAUCAUCAUUCAAUCGCCACCCACAUUUCUUCAUUCGUUAUUUAUUUUAUCAUAUUUUCAAUUGUCUAUAAAAAAAAGAACCAUUACUUUUUUUCUUGGACACGAUGUUUCUCGCAAAAUUUAUCUUUGUGUUAUCGAUAUACGUAUCCAUGCACAUUAACGACUAUAUAUACAAUUCGUGCUGCACAAAGUUUAUAGUAAAGUAAUGCUCGUUUAUAUAUGGCACUAAUUAAAAUGGUGGUAUAGCAAAACGAAGCAAACAGAUGAUAGAAAAGAGAGAUAUAAAGAAUCGAGGCCAAGAAUAAUAUGUGUAAGUAGCGUUAUAGCUUCAUUUAUUGGGGAAUAUAGUACACGCACACGCCCUAAUUAAAGAUGAUCAAGUACUUCUCUCAUUCUUUUUUAUCACUUGAUUAAUAAUUUAGUGCAAGUAAAUGGCCAAGAAGGACAAGAGUGUAGCUCCAACCAGAGAUCCAACCGCGUUCAUGUUGCUUCCGUUAGGUGCUGGUGUAGAAGCUUGAGGGCCAGCUGCAGCGGUGGGGGUGGCAGCGGUGGUGGC
rnacentral:lncRNA from 1 species